rfam:Callicebus moloch clone LB5-73P23, complete sequence.
GCCGCGUGCCUCCCAUCCAUGGUUGGUGGUUAAUGCAGGAGGUAAUUAGAACAAGAUCCUAACAAACUUGCAGCCAGCCCACUGAGUCGUUAAAAUAACACUCGCAAAGAAAACACGCCCGCCCUAACGCUCCAUAGAGUUCCAAAACACAAAGUAUAUUUCGAACUAAAGGUUACAAUCCUUGAAAUGUGGAAAUUUCAAG